rnacentral:misc_RNA from 1 species
AUUACAUCUUUUCCAUAUUCCAAUGAGUACUCCUCUGAAAUAACCUCCCCAGGCAACUUCUUAGGUUUCCUCAAGGGCACAAAUUUUGCACCAAUUGCCAAUGCAAUCGGAGGGCCAAAUAUAAAACCCCUUGCUUCAAUACCUGCAACGACGGAGAUGUUUUUCCCUUUGUAUCUGUCAACGAACAAAUCUAUCGUGUCCUUGAACGCCUUAGUAUCCAGAAGCAACGUAGUUAUAUCCUGAAACAAAAUCCCUUUUUUGGGGAAGUCAGGGAUGAUCCUGAUUGAAGAGGAAAUCCUCGCUAUUCGAGGAUCUUUCUCGUCUUGAGCGGCCAUUCCCUGAUUUUGUAGCGGCUGCAACUCACUUCCUCCACCAG